AAAAACUUAGGAUAACUAAACCAAGAGCCUUCAAAGCUCAAAAUAGGAAUGAAAACCUCCUAGUUUUUG
rnacentral:tRNA from 3 species